rnacentral:tRNA from 1 species
GCGGCUAUGGCGAAAUUGGUAGACGCACUACCUUGAGGUGGUAGCGCCCAUACAACGGGUGUGUCAGUUCGAAUCUGAUUGGCCGCA